UUAUACAUGACCUCAGAACAUAAACUUCAUUGAGCACUUGAAACACAUAACAUACAAGAAUGAGGUGCGAAGCUGCGAAUGCUGAUGGAUCAACACUUCAGAUUUUGCAAGCACUUGACAGUUCAAUGUCAAAAGAACAUCCACACAUCCACGAACUUUAUAGAGGACACACUUAAGUUCAACUGGUAGAAAUACAAGUUGUGUAGCCCUCGUCAGCAACACAAAAAUCUGUAGAAAAAUGUACCCAUUCUCAUGGGCAUAUCAACAAGUAUGUUCAGAGCAAAAUGUCUUCUGCCCUUCUCCAUAGAGAAACCACUCGAGUUCCUCUUCUUUUCCUCCUUGAUGAGCCACUUAGACUUGAAUUCGUACUGGCUGUCCACAUCCAACAGCUUCCAUGAGACGAAGUUGUGGUCGAGAGGCCACAGGCUUGGGCGUUUCCUCAGCAACUCGUGCACCGUCCUGGGAUGCGUUUGAGGUGAGACGCCCGCAAGACCACACACAGACAACGCCGAAACGCCAAGCAUAGCCGCGACCACGCACACACGAACACAAGACACACAUAUGCGCUGUGAGCGACUCAAUGAAGACGUGCAUCUACAUGGUCACAUGGAUGCGCGUGGAAGGUGCAGCCCACAGUCGGCGGUGGUCAGUUCGAAGGCGGGGAAUCAACAAGGUCGCGACAGGAAAUCAGCACGGCGGUGGCAACAUAUUCAGACCUGUCAAUUGUUAAGACGAAUAUGAGAGUUCAGAGCCAACUUCUUGUUUAGUAUCAACAUAUUCAGAGUGAACUUAGAUGCCCACAUUAUAGCAUGAGUUCAUGGCAGAAAAAGGUGAUACUCAAGAUAUUGAACUAAACUAAAAUUAUAUAUUGAACUUAACUAAAAUAAGAAUUAAACAGAAAAUUAUAUAUUGUGGAGUAACACACACAAACCGAACCGUGAUCAAGAGUGUGACGAUCCAUGAACCUGCCCCGAUGAUGUUUUUGAACUUCAUAUUUCAGCAAGAAAUAUAUUGAAUAAAAAUCUACGAGAAAGAAACUUACAACAAAUUUUGUUGAAGCGCCACCUGAGAACUCCUAUAGGUCAUACAGAAGAUAAACAAAAGAUGAGUUUAGUGUGGUGGAGCUGGUGCAUUACAGCGACCUCGCCAGAGAUGCAACACCCCAACACGCGAGCACCUCACAUAUAUAUGGGAACAGUGUUAGACUGCUAUAUUGAACUCACAUAUUGUAUUUUCAACAUAGAACUACUCAUUUUUUAUUUUUUUGAACUUCUAUAUUGAACUCUUUUUAGAGGUAUGCCCGUGAGCUUCCCAACUUUUCUAUUUUUGAAUGAAUCAAUGGGGGUGUACCUUUUCUUCCUAUUUUGUUUUUACCAUGAACUUGCCAGGUUUUGGAGUUCGAACUUACUAUGUGAUUUUUUUCGAACUUUUCCAAGUUUUUAUUUAAAUUCGUAGAGAUCAGCAAAUUGUUUUCUUAUAUAGGUCUCAAUGAAACGCCUUUUAACUUUCUUUUUGUACAUCUUUUCUGGUUUCUGGUCUUAAUCUUAUUUCCCAACAAUUUGUUUUUUGAACUGGUGUAAAUUCAUGUUGAGAUAAUUAGAUUUAUGCCCCUAGUUGUGUCCCACUCGUCCGUUUUACCCCUAAUUCCCAAAAGUCACUGGUUCUGUCCAAGUCACUUUGCUCCUAUUAUGCUUUUGCCCUUUGACCGUUUGACCAUCAGUUUGAAAACUUCAUAACUAAUUCAUACUAAAUCAGAAAAAUGCAAAUAAGAUACCAAAAUGUUUUAAAAAACAUCACCUAUGUGUCAGUGUCAUUUGCAUUCAUGAAAAAAGUGUUGGAAAGUGCCCAUCCGAGUUUUAGCUCUUAUGCUACCACCAUGAAUAGUAAAAUCUAAAAAAGUUCAAAAAAAUUUAAAAAAAUUGGUGGCAAAGAAUGGCAAAUGUUUUAAGUGCCUGCCAAGUUUCAUCAGGGAAUAACAUUCGUGGGUGCCGUGACAAAAAAAACAAUCAGCACUCCAAAAUAGAUUUUUUUUUGCCACGACUUCCAUGAAUGUCGUUCCCUAAUGAAACUUGGCAAGCACUUAGAACAUUUGUUGUUCUUCGCCACCAUAUUUUUUGUAAUUUUUUUGAAUUUUUUUAGGGUUCACUAUUCAUGGUGGUAUCAAAAGAGCUAAAACUCGGAUGUGCACUUUCCAACACUUUUUUCAUGAAUGCAAAUGACAUUGACAUAUAGGCGAUGUUUUUCUAAACAUUUUGGUAUCUUAUUUGCAUUUUUCUGAUUCAGUAUGAAUUAGUUAUGAAGUUUUCAAACUGACGGUCAAACGGUCAAAGGGCAAAAGCAUAAGAGGAGCAAAGUGACUUGAACAGAACCGGUGACUUUUGGGAAUUAGGGGUAAAACCAUUUAUGUUUGACCUUACUAGCUCUUGGUCAGAAUAACUCAAGAACGAGAUGGAACUAGAGAAAUAUGACAGGUCAAAUAUGGCAAAAAAGUGCAAAUCAAACUGUUUGUCGGAUGGGCAAAUGUACAAGUUCACAUAAAAAGAACAAGUUCAUGUACAGUAAUAUAGAAGUACACAAAGAUACCUAAAUAUAAUUUAUGUACUUUGAAAUAGUUUGUUUUACUUCCAAAAUACUUCAUUUGUUUUGAAAUAUGAACUUCUAUAUUUAUUUCCUUAGAACUUAUAACAGAGUAUGCAGCACAAUUAUGCUUCAUAUUUGAACUUCUAUAUUUAUUUCCUUAGAAUUAUGCUGCAUGCUCACACAACAUCAGACCCAAUUUCUGAACUUGCAAGACAAUAGCGGUAGUGAAUAUUUUUUAUUACCUUCUUUGUAGAGGUAGCAUUAAGAACACUAGGUAAUAGCUAGGAGCUAACAGGAGGUGCACCAACAGCUAGUGGCAGUAGGUCGAGGUCGUCCUGGAUG
rnacentral:lncRNA from 1 species